UACGUAGGGCGCAAGCGUUAUCCGGAAUUAUUGGGCGUAAAGAGCUCGUAGGCGGUUUGUCGCGUCUGCCGUGAAAUCCCGAGGCUCAACCUGCGGGUCUGCGAGUCGAUGACGGGGCGGACUGGAGUACUGCAGGGGAGACUGGAAUUCCUGGUGUAGCGGUGAAAUGCGCAGAUAUCAGGAGGAACACCGGUGGCGAAGGCGGGUCUCUGGGCAGUUACUGACGCUGGAGGAGCGAAAGCGUGGGGAGCGAACAGG
rnacentral:rRNA from 1 species